rnacentral:lncRNA from 1 species
GUUGGAGCAGAGCACGGCACAACCUUGGCCGCUCUCCUCUUGAGAAGUCAUCUGGGAGGAAGAGCUGCCAACGCUCUCCAGGACAGGUAAGAUUGCCCCAAACCAAACCCACCAGGUUCUAACAGCAAGGAGGACGGUGACAUGAUCGGGGUAUGACGGGAGUGACUGCUGGAUCAGGAUGUCGGAACAAGGAGAGCGUGGACAGAAACAUACCUAGCGAUGAGAGCGCACCAUGGCACACUCCUGGCCACUCUCCCGUUGAGAAAUCAGCUGGAAGGAAGAGGUGCCCAGGCUCUCCAGGACAGGUAAGAUUGCCCCAAACCAAACCCACCAGGUUCUAACAGCAAGGAGGACGGUGACAUGAUCGGGGUAGGACGGGAGUGACUGCUGGAUCAGGGUGUCGGAACAAGGAGAGCGUGGGUGAGUCGUUGGAGACCCUCGGGCAUAGAAGUAGGGGCAGCCUGUGGUCUCC